AGUGAACGCUGGCGGCGGGCCUAACACAUGCAAGUCGAACGGCAGCACAGUAAGAGCUUGCUCUUACGGGUGGCGAGUGGCGGACGGGUGAGGCAUACAUCGGAAUCUACUUUUUCGUGGGGGAUAACGUAGGGAAACUUACGCUAACACCGCAUAUGAUCUACGGGUUAAAGCAGGGGAUCUUCGGACUUUGCGCGAUUGAAUGAGCCGAUGUCGGAUUAGCUAGUUGGCGAGGUAAAGGCCCACCAAGGCGACGAUCCGUAGCUGGUCUGAGAGGAUGAUCAGCCACACUGGAACUGAGACACGGUCCAGACUCCUACGGGAGGCAGCAGUAGGGAAUAUUGGACAAUGGGCGCAAGCCUGAUCCAGCCAUGCCGCGUGAGUGAAGAAGGCCUUCGGGUUGUAAAGCCCUUUUAUUAGGAAAGAAAAGCAGCAGAUUAAUACCCCGCUGUUCUGACGGUACCCAAAGAAUAAGCACCGGCUAACUUCGUG
rnacentral:rRNA from 1 species